rnacentral:rRNA from 1 species
GACGAACGCUGGCGGCGUGCUUAACACAUGCAAGUCGAACGGAAAGCUUCUUUCGGGAAGACUCGAGUGGCGAACGGGUGAGUAACACGUGAGUAACCUGCCCCAGUCUUUGGGAUAACCUUCGGAAACGGGGGCUAAUACCGAAUAUUCCGGGCUGUGCGCAUGCAUGGUUUGGGAAAGUUUUUUAUGGUCUGGGAUGGGCUCGCGGCCUAUCAGCUUGUUGGUGGGGUGAUGGCUUACCAAGGCUUUGACGGGUAGCCGGCCUGAGAGGGCGACCGGCCACACUGGGACUGAGACACGGCCCAGACUCCUACGGGAGGCAGCAGUGGGGAAUAUUGCACAAUGGACGCAAGUCUGAUGCAGCGACGCCGCGUGAGGGAUGACGGCCUUCGGUU